UACAGAGGUCCCAAGCGUUGUUCGGAUUCACUGGGCGUAAAGGGUGCGUAGGCGGUCGGGUAAGUCUGUCGUGAAAUCUCCGAGCCCAACUCGGAAACUGCGUCGGAUACUAUUCGGCUAGAGGAAUGGAGGGGAGACUGGAAUUCUCGGUGUAGCAGUGAAAUGCGUAGAUAUCGGGAGGAACACCAGUGGCGAAGGCGACUACCUGGCCUGUUCUUGACGCUGAGGCGCGAAAGCCAGGGGAGCAAACGGG
rnacentral:rRNA from 1 species